CAGUGGUAUCUGGCAGAUACUUAGCUACUUCCGUAAGUGCAACUCGUGGUGUGAGUGAUUAGUUUGCUGACUAGUCAAGGCAAUUAGUGCGAAACCGUUGUGAAAUUAAUGCAAUGCUUCGGAUUUCUGUAUUUCUGCUGCUUUAGCAUAAAAUAUUAGUUGCAUUAAUAAUUUGUCAAGCGAUUGUUGAUAAAAAGUGUGACAGCCGAAGGGAAUUCAUACGCAACUGAUCAGUUGGUUCAAUAAUAAUGCUUGGCGUAGACUAAAUUCGCACGCUGUGCAUGAAAAGCCACCAGCCGUUUCUUCUUUUUGUGAAAAAGAAAAUAAAAAUAAAGCGAUACUAUCAACAGCGAGCUACUGUCUCAAGACGUUUAAAGCCAGCAAGUCAUGGUAUGAUUGCUUGAAAUUAGCGCAGCAUGUUGUCAUGCCAAUCUUACGGCAGGAGGUUGACCAUAUAAGAAUAUUAAAUAAAUUAUGGAAGAGAAAAUUAAUAAGCAUGUGAAAGAAUGACGAUUAUGUUGAUAAGGAAAAUUAUGAAAAGAAAUAUGAAAGAGCUUUUGCAUAAAGCAAAAAUAAAACGAAAAAGCAAAACAAAAUAAAAUAAAAAAUUAAAAAAAUUAAAAAAAAAACAAUUUUUUAAUUUUUUUUACCCUUUUUCAAUAUAUUUAUAAUACAGUUUUUUAAAUAUUUUUUGUAA